GGGAGGGAGAUCGGGGGCGGGGAUUGGGAGAGGGGGAAUGAAACAAGUGGGUCCUAGAGUGCCCCUGAGUGCUCUUCGGGAAGAUGUACUCAUUUGAUAGAGCUCUCAUCCUUUUACUGUCUUCACCUGUACCUACAUCCAAGGAGUCGAAGAGUAACUAAGGACAAGAGUGAUGGCCAUAAUACAUCAUGCAGGCUCACAUUGAUUUAGUGCUGAGAACCAUGACGGGGCUCUCUUUGCAACACAAUUGGCAACUUGAAACAUAUAAUGCAAUGAAACAAGCAAGAUGAGAAAGGACUGAUAUCCAAUACCCUUUAAAGGAACAUUAGUAAUAUCUCUCCUAAUGGUGGAAUGCUAUAUUCCAAACGCCCAUGUUUCCAAAAGGAAAAUUGCUGGACAGCAAGGAUUGUGAAUGCAUCAGCUGAAGUCUCGGGCAGUAAGGAAGAGAAGACUUCAUAGCCAUCAUGUGUAGACUUAUGAUCAGUACCAUCCGGGAACCUGAUGCCUGAGAAGAAAGCGUCGGCAAGAUACAGAAGAUGGGCCACACCGAGAUGGGAACAAAGAAAGGUCUCAGAUGACACCAGAGUAAACUUUGAUGUGCUUUGAGAAA